UACGUAGGGACCAAGCGUUGUCCGGAAUCAUUGGGCGUAAAGCGCGCGUAGGUGGCCAUUUAAGUCCGCUGUGAAAGUCAGAGGCUCAACCUUUGAAAGCCGGUGGAUACUGGAUGGCUAGAGUACGGAAGAGGCGAGUGGAAUUCUUGGUGUAGCGGUGGAAUGCGCAGAUAUCAGGAGGAACACCAAUAGCGAAGGCAGCUCGCUGGGACGUUACUGACACUAAGGCGCGAAAGCGUGGGGAGCGAACAGG
rnacentral:rRNA from 1 species